rnacentral:rRNA from 1 species
GGGGAAUUUUCCGCAAUGGGCGAAAGCCUGACGGAGCAAUACCGCGUGAGGGAGGAAGGCUCUUGGGUUGUAAACCUCUUUUCUCAGGGAAGAACGCAAUGACGGUACCUGAGGAAUCAGCAUCGGCUAACUCCGUGCCAGCAGCCGCGGUAAUACGGAGGAUGCAAGCGUUAUCCGGAAUGAUUGGGCGUAAAGGGUUCGCAGGUGGUAGUGAAAGUUUGCUGUUAAAAGUCGGGGCUCAACCCCGAACCGGCGGUGAAAACUACACAACUAGAGUGCGGUAGGGGCAGAGGGAAUUCCUGGUGUAGCGGUGAAAUGCGUAGAGCUCAGGAAGAACACCGGUGGCGAAAGCGCUCUGCUAGACCUGCACUGACACUGAGGGACGAAAGCUAGGGGAGCGAAUGGGAUUAGAUACCCCAG